AACGAACGCUGGCGGCAUGCCUAACACAUGCAAGUCGAACGAGACCUUCGGGUCUAGUGGCGCACGGGUGCGUAACGCGUGGGAACCUGCCCUUAGGUUCGGAAUAACUCCCCGAAAGGGGUGCUAAUACCGGAUAAUGUCUUCGGACCAAAGAUUUAUCGCCUUUGGAUGGGCCCGCGUUGGAUUAGCUAGUUGGUAGGGUAAAAGCCUACCAAGGCGACGAUCCAUAGCUGGUCUGAGAGGAUGAUCAGCCACACUGGGACUGAGACACGGCCCAGACUCCUACGGGAGGCAGCAGUGGGGAAUAUUGGACAAUGGGCGAAAGCCUAAUCCAGCAAUGCCGCGUGAGUGAUGAAGGCCUUAGGGUUGUAAAGCUCUUUUACCCGGGAUGAUAAUGACAGUACCGGGAGAAUAAGCGCCGGCUAACUCCGUG
rnacentral:rRNA from 1 species